UGCGGAGGGAGCUAGCGUUGUGCGGAAAUACUGGGCGUAAAGCGGACGUAGGCGGCCCAGUAAGUCAGGGGUGAAAUGCCGGGGCUCAACCCCGGAACUGCCUUUGAAACUGCAUGGCUAGAAUCCUGGAGAGGCGAGUGGAAUUCCGAGUGUAGAGGUGAAAUUCGUAGAUAUUAGGAAGAACACCAGUGGCGAAGGCGACUCGCUGGACAGGUAUUGACGCUGAGGAUCGAAAGCGUGGGGAGCAAACAGG
rnacentral:misc_RNA from 1 species